rnacentral:rRNA from 1 species
UCCUACGGGGGGCAGCAGUGGGGAAUAUUGCACAAUGGGGGAAACCCUGAUGCAGCGACGCCGCGUGAGUGAAGAAGUAUCUCGGUACGUAAAGCUCUAUCAGCAGGGAAGAAAAAAAGUCUUUGGCUUUGGACGGUACCUGACUAAGAAGCCCCGGCUAACUACGUGCCAGCAGCCGCGGUAAUACGUAGGGGGCAAGCGUUAUCCGGAUUUACUGGGUGUAAAGGGAGCGUAGGCGGGAAGCCAAGUCAGCUGUGAAAACUACGGGCUUAACCUGUAGACUGCAGUUGAAACUGGCUUUCUUG